GCGAACGGGUGAGUAACACGUGAGUAACCUGCCCCAGACUCUGGGAUAACCCCGGGAAACCGGAGCUAAUACCGGAUAUGACCCUCGUACGCAUGUGCAGGGGGUGGAAAGUUUUUCGGUCUGGGAUGGGCUCGCGGCCUAUCAGCUUGUUGGUGAGGUAGUGGCUCACCAAGGCGACGACGGGUAGCCGGCCUGAGAGGGCGACCGGCCACACUGGGACUGAGACACGGCCCAGACUCCUACGGGAGGCAGCAGUGGGGAAUAUUGCACAAUGGGCGGAAGCCUGAUGCAGCGACGCCACGUGAGGGAUGACGGCCUUCGGGUUGUAAACCUCUUUCAGCAGGGAAGAAGCGAAAGUGACGGUACCUGCAGAAGAAGCACCGGCUAACUACGUGCCAGCAGCCGCGGUAAUACGUAGGGUGCGAGCGUUGUCCGGAAUUAUUGGGCGUAAAGAGCUUGUAGGCGGUUUGUCGCGUCUGCUGUGAAAAUCCGGGGCUCAACCCCGGACUUGCAGUGGGUACGGGCAGACUAGAGUGUGGUAGGGGAGACUGGAAUUCCUGGUGUAGCGGUGGAAUGCGCAGAUAUCAGGAGGAACACCGAUGGCGAAGGCAGGUCUCUGGGCCACUACUGACGCUGAGAAGCGAAAGCAUGGGGAGCGAACAGGAUUAGAUACCCUGGUAG
rnacentral:rRNA from 1 species